GUUCCAAUUCCAAACAGCUGCUGGUGCUAAUCUUUCGGUUAUUUGCAAUCAGGAGGAAGAAAUACCCACACCCUAGAGCGCUCCGAUAUUAGCCCUGCCAGCGGAGCAAAGAGACCACUGGAGGCCGAAGCAACGGAGGAAAACAAAACCCACCAGAUUUACUGAACCCGGUUUAACUCUGAGCCUUUCAGGGGGCGUGAGGAGCCCGGCCAGCCCAUGUGUCAUCCAUCCCCGCGACUCCCGGCUCUUCGGGGUUAACGAUUCAGACACCACUGAGAGCUCUGGGACUGCAACUUGGCUUAGAUAGCGUCUCAGCCCUGGGGCAAUUCCUCUAAAUCAAUUUUCAAAACAAUCAGUUUAGGGGCUUUUAAUUAAGCUUUAAACCAGUGGUUAAAAAUAGCAGUUUACUUCUUUGGGAUGCAAACUAGGCUAGCAUAAAAAUAAAUCAGAGAGACGGUCCCGCUGCCUUUUGGGAUUCAGGGCAGCGUAGAUUAUUAACGUCCCAAGAUUACGAGGAUUUUUCUUUCUUCCGAUACUUAUUCUCCCUCUCGCAGCAGCUGCUCUUUCCCUGCCAGACACCGAACUGUCCACAGGUCUGCAAAGACGGGGGAUCCCGUGCGGCUUCCCCAGAGAGAAAACUCAGCGAGGUAACCCAGGUAGCCCCGGCCGGAGUACCGCUGCGAGCAGCAGGUUCACCGCCUUUUUCUUUAUAUAUACAGAAGGGAAAAAAAUGAAAACAAACAAACACACACACAAAAUAAAUAAAUAAA